rnacentral:rRNA from 1 species
AUUGAACGCUGGCGGCAUGCUUUACACAUGCAAGUCGAACGGCAGCGCGGGCUUCGGCCUGGCGGCGAGUGGCGAACGGGUGAGUAAUGCAUCGGAAAGUGCCCAGUAGUGGGGGAUAGCCCGGCGAAAGCCGGAUUAAUACCGCAUACGACCUGAGGGUGAAAGCGGGGGACCGAAAGGCCUCGCGCUAUUGGAGCGGCCGAUGUCGGAUUAGCUAGUUGGUGGGGUAAAGGCUUACCAAGGCGACGAUCCGUAGCUGGUCUGAGAGGACGACCAGCCACACUGGGACUAAGACACGGCCCAGACUCCUACGGGAGGCAGCAGUGGGGAAUUUUGGACAAUGGGGGCAACCCUGAUCCAGCCAUGCCGCGUGCGGGAAGAAGGCCUUCGGGUUGUAAACCGCUUUUGUUCGGGAAGAAAUCCUCUGGGCUAAUACCCCGGGGGGAUGACGUUACCGGAAGAAUAAGCACCGGCUAACUACGUG